UUAGUUAAGUGAAUAAGGGCGCACGGUGGAUGCCUUGGCACUAGGAGCCGAUGAAGGACGGGACUAACACCGAUAUGCCUCGGGGAGUUGUAAGUAAACUUAGAUCCGAGGAUUUCCGAAUGGGGAAACCCACUGUUCGUAAUGGAACAGGACUUAUACUUAAAUACAUAGGGCAUAAGAGGCACACCCAGGGAACUGAAACAUCUCAGUACCUGGAGGAAGAGAAAGCAAAUGCGAUUUCCCAAGUAGCGGCGAGCGAAACGGAAACAGCCCAAACCAGAGAGCUUGCUCUCUGGGGUUGUAGGACACUCCACAAGGAGUUACAAAGAAAUUCUUUAGAUGAAUCAACCUGGAAAGGUUAGCCAAAGAGGGUAACAGCCCUGUAAUCGAAAAAGAAUUUCCUCCGGAGUGGAUCCUGAGUACGGCGGAACACGUGGAAUUCCGUCGGAAUCCGGGAGGACCAUCUCCCAAGGCUAAAUACUCCCUAGUGACCGAUAGUGAACCAGUACCGUGAGGGAAAGGUGAAAAGCACCCCGGGAGGGGAGUGAAAGAGUACCUGAAACCGUGUGCCUACAAGUAGUCGAAGCGCGUUCAUGCGUAACGGCGUACCUUUUGUAGAAUGGACCGGCGAGUUACGAUUGUAUGCGAGGUUAAGUGGAAGACACGGAGCCGUAGCGAAAGCGAGUCUGAAUAGGGCGAUUUAGUAUGCGGUCGUAGACCCGAAACCGUGUGAUCUACCCAUGUCCAGGGUGAAGGUCAGGUAACACUGACUGGAGGCCCGAACCCACGUAUGUUGAAAAAUGCGGGGAUGAGGUGUGGGUAGGGGUGAAAUGCCAAUCGAACACGGAGAUAGCUGGUUCUCUCCGAAAUAGCUUUAGGGCUAGCCUCAAGAUGAUGAGUACUGGAGGUAGAGCACUGAUUGGACUAGGGGCCCUCAUCGGGUUACCGAAUUCAGUCAAACUCCGAAUGCCAGAUACUUAAACUUGGGAGUCAGA
rnacentral:rRNA from 1 species